ensembl:lncRNA
CAGUCGCAGCCUCGAUCCUUCCCAUUUACUCUCAUUUCAAGCGAAACGAUCUUUGUCAAAUGCUCUCAGCGCUCCUCCUUCCUUCCGUCUCCCACAACAUUUAUCCCUCCCAAGACCUCCCCCUUCUCUCUCUCUCCAUCUCUCACUAAAUAUGACCAUCUUUGUCAAACUGUCAGCGGCCGUCCUCCUCCAUCUAUUAAAUGAAGCCUUUUGUUUCAUUAACCUUGUAUCCCUCCUCUCCUUUCUCCCUCUCGCCCUCGCAUUGCCAUCUGAAACCAGAUGGAUGUCAGACAGUUGUUACCAGUCUGCCACAGGAGAGAACACUUUCUGCACGUUUCUCUUCUUCCCCUCGCCGUUCUUGCCUCCCUCCCGCUUUUGCUGCAUUUACAUCUGGCGGUGCAGAGGUGGAAGCGUUCUUUAAAGAGAGGAGUGAGUAUCUUCAGAGACCCCCUCUGGGCUAUAACUCUCUCUCCGUCUGACCCACUGCCUUCAAGGUUCGUUAUUUUUUUUCUCUGCUUGCGAUCAUGUGGUGUUUUCUCUCCUAGCUUUUACAAUGACAUUGUUUUUGUCCCACUUUUGACAUUCUUCAUUUAGUUCCCUCAUCCGUAUAUAUCCAGGCAUUUCAAAAAGGCACGAUAUAAUAAUUAGAUACGAGCCGGAAUAGUCAAUAAAAAUAGAUAUAGAGAUAUAACUCCAUUUAAAGAGUUUUAUUUUCUCGUGUUGAGGCGACGGUUCAUAAUUCACACCAUGAAUAUUAACGCAUCAACACCCUCCUCCCUUAACAUUUUUUAUUUCAUAACAAUCUUCACGAUUCGAAUGUGGACAUUAUUGUCUUUCAGAGUUACGGAUGAAGUCCACUUGACAUUCUGAAUAUUUUUGCUUUACUUUUUUUAGGCACAUUUUUCCUCACUGGGAUUAAAUACUGGUUAAAUAAUAGUUUAAACCAAUCUUUUGUAUUCACCAGCAAUUAAUACACAGUUUUAAAAGGGUACCUCUUCCCGUUGUGUCUGUAAAGCCCCAUAGUUCAGUCACAUUGACCCAAGACACAAAUGAGGGUUUUAUUUGGACAAUCAAUGAAUGGAAAACCAUUUAGAUAUUAAGCUACACUAAGCAUGCUGACUAUUACAAAGAAGGAAAAGGAGAAACAUUUGCAGCAGGUCGAUCUCAACUGCUAACAAGUGACACAUGCAGUCAGGGUGAUGUGUACAGCAGUAGACUAGUUAAAGUGACACACUGCUGUACACAUCCAGCAGUGUGUCACUUUAACUAGUCUACACCCGAGUUGGAAACACAAAAUGUUUUUUCAAAAGCACGCCUCCGCCUCAGGAAAGACGUGUCGCCUAAUGAGGCUUUCACACGUCUCCGUCACACACACUUGGACAAGGUUUCGUACAUAACGUGCUGUUAUUCCUGCAGCGGGAUCCUGCCCUGCUCUACAUGCACAUUGCAGUCUUCGGGUUUGGAUCUUUCUCACCCAAACCCCAUCUUCAUGGUGUGGGCCGGGCCAAACCAUCUCGGCCUAUUGCCCCUUUGUCCUCUCUGUUUUCAUUGCAUUACAGUGUGACACAGACCCAUGGCCAUUACAUUAGAAUGGGCCUCGGGAACAGGAUCUGAGAUAAAGCAUCUGCUGUAGUGAUGUCAGAUGACAGUUAUGAAGCAGAUCAUGAGGCUUACAGUCUGAACUCUCUGGCGCCGCUUUGCUCUCUUAACCUCUGACAUCCUAAAAGCCAAAUCCUUUCCACUGUUUUAGUAUUACUUCUUCGGUCGCUGUUGUGACUUAACAGAUAUUUGCUCAGGCCCCAUUCAGAUGGUAUUUCAAGAUAACCGCUAUUCCCUUGAACAACUAAAAAGGGCCAGAUAAUGUGCUGUCUUUAGCCAAAACAGUUACUUAUUUAUGACAUUCUGCCUCGGCUUUACCUGCUUCCUCUUCCACUUUGUCCUCAUUCAACUGCACUUUUACAAAAGAAAUGAAUCUUUAAUUAUAUAUCAGAGACUUUCUCUCCUCCGUUAGAUUUCUGCUGUGAUGCAUGAAGAUAAUGUAUUCCAUUGAAUGUUCACUCUGGCCGGCGAACAAAUUCUCCAAAUAAACAGGCGGGUUGACCCGUCGUCAGCGGGUUCGCCGGUCACUGUGCUCUUAGUUAAAUUCUCUGUCUCUCCGUGAUCUUUCAGCCUUCAUCUUCUUAACCCGAUCCCCUUGCUCGCUAAGAAUAGCCGUGGCUUAAAGAGAACAGGCAGGGAAACAGAGAAGAAGGGCGGUAUUGGGAGGCUGCUGGCUGGAUUCUCAUUGGAUUUCAUGCCGUGUGCAGUUCAGUGGCUCCUAUGACUCCUUUCAGCCCACUGAUUUAUAGUAGUUCCCCUGCCGGUGUAACCUUUUAAUUUUCUGCCUUUUUAUUUUUAGUUUGUUUGUGCAAGGGCAUGUUUUAAAGCGCUAGCGUCUCGUCAUCCCUCAUUCGGUUCAGACCUUCAACGAGGCGUGUACCGUUUUGCACGACCGAAAUCACUGCAUGUUUUGUCCAUCAGGUGGAUGGAGCUUGUUUUGUGCUUUAAAGACAGACUACCAACAGACAAACAAAUAAAUUCCAAUCCCAUCAAUAACAUCUGUUGAUUUUCUGACUCAUGGCGAACUGCCACACACGAGCUUCAUAACAAAACAGUGGGACACGGUCAUGUAAGGUGGUAAAAGUCUGUUAAUGCAGUGUUUCCCCUGCCCUUCUAUUGGGGGAAGGACUGAUGUCAGUCAGUCUGUCUCCACGCCCCCCCCGUCCCCCCGACCCUCCCGUCAUUCAUCUGUCCCUCUGUCGGUACGUCCGUCCUCAUCGCCCCUGCAAUGCUGUUAACUAAAGGGAAACCCUAAAAUAGCAUCUAGUAUUAGCAUGGAAGCGUAGCAACCGGCCCCCCACUGGUAAACGCUAUUAGCUCCGUCAGUCCUUUUGCUGUAGUUUCCCCCCUUUGACGCUUUUGCCAUCGUUAGCUGGUCGCCAGUGGCUCGCCGUCACCAUGUCGGGAGCCGUUGGGAUCAAUAGCAAUGAUCCCAACCUCGGAUCUUGCUUAGAGAACCUCAAUUUGUGUUGUUUGAUAAAUUGUAAAAAGUUUGUAAAGUGUUAAAAAGGUGAGACGUGUGCUUGGAACGCAAUUAGGUCAAUACAAUUUCUUAGAUAUAUUACAGAUGGAUAAUGCUGGUGGAUCCAUCUGUUCAUCGUCAUUUUAAGCCCAACCGCGGAUAUAUUUUUAAAUUGUCAACCACUAGUUUGAAAGGGUCAAAUAAACUGAACUCCCUGGUUACUGAAAACGUUAUUGAGACAGAUGUUCAGUUGGGUGGAGUUUCCUGAAUCAAGAUGUAGCCUACAGCCAUGAUUGUAAAAUGAAUCAAGGAAGAGCAAAAAAACAUCCACGCUGGGCUGACAUAGUGUUAUGACGGAUGACAUUAUCAAGUAAUGAUACGUAUGGCGUUUGGAUGUCUACAGAUAAGGAUUUAGGGAGCGGGGGUGUUGGAAAGACACAUGCUGAGUGUGUAAUUACCACUCACUGUUUGCAUUAACAUCUCAUCUAAUUUAAUUCCUCUCUCUGUAGUAGCUACUGUAUAUUUAGCUCUUUCCCAUUAUUCACUACUCGGGUGUUUCUUUCUCGUACACUCCGAUCUCCGCAUAAAUAAUGAUUUAUUUUUGAUUUGCCUGCUUCUGUUAAGGUUAUUCUUUGGUACUAUUUUUGCUUUUUUGUUUAGUAUUGUGAUCAUUUAUGUGCUCUGCGCUGCUGCUAAAGGCGCUGUUGUCAUCAAGAGAGUUAAGGAACUGCUGAAUUGGAAAAGUAUAGCUGGUGUCAAGGUCUGGAGGACGUAGAGGCACAUAGUUGGAAAGGCGAAUACACAAGAACGGCAAGGGGGACCGAGACCGAAUGUGAGCAUCUUAACCGUGAUGUUUCAUGUGAUACCACUCUUUCUUUCUCUCUCUCUCUCUCUCUCUCUCUCUUGACAAACUGAGAUAAGCUGCCCUGACUCUGCAUAAGAACAAAAUAUAAAACAACCCCAAAAAAAUCCACCAUUCUGAGGUCAGAUUUAUCUGGUGGAAAAUGAAAGGAGACACGACAGGAUGCAGGGAGAGGGCGAAACGGUGGAGGAGGGAAUAUGGAAAAAAUGUAUAAACUUUCUGCCUUUUAAUGCUCUCGCCGUAGUUAAUGCAGCACGGUGAGUUGUUUGCUGGUUCGCUGAUCAUCACUUUAAGCCGAGAGCACAUACUUGUUACCAUUUGGGCCUUUGACCGAAACCUUCAGAUGGCUGGUGAAACGUCUCCUCUUACAGGCAAAUCUAUGGAAUUUUUUUCAAUCUCUAUUAAGUAAAUCAUUAAAUUUUAAUUGUAUAUUGUAGGGAAAAGCAGUACUGACUGACUGUUUGCUUCCUAUUUGUUGUCAGUUAGUUUGGACCUGAAGUAUUUGUGAAUGAAUAUUUUUUACUUUGGGAAAGUGAGCGUAAUAAUAGCACUCUCAUGCUUGUUGUCCUUGCGUUCCACUCAUUGUAAAAGUUGACGAAAUCACACGUAACGUUAGCAGUCAGUUCUUCUUCUCCUGUUCCAUUCACUGGUAUCUAAUUCUUUCUUUUAGCAGCUUUUAUGCGCACCACUAGAUCACUUCAUCGUGAGCGUGACGCGGCUGUGGUAACAGGCGCUUUACAGCACGGCAGCUUCGGGUGAUGUGCGUGCAAAUGUAACUUGCCAUGAAGUCGAGCUAGUUGGGGUUUUGUGCGUGAACCUAUGACUGUGUGUAAUAGACAGUGUGUGAAAAAGCGUGUAAUAGGCUCACCUGUCCCCGCCUGCCGACUGAUGGGCAGGGGGAGAGAAGGGAAACCAGGUGGAAGGAGGGAGCCAUGGAGGAACCAAUGCACCGAGUAGAUAAGGCUGCAUUUUAUGUUCCGACUUCCACAUUGCUGAAUAAAUGAACACCAUUAUAGAAUGGGGUAUAAAAUAAAAGGGAGAGGUAUGUUGAUUGAAGAAAUAUUGCUUAUUGGAUGAGGCUGGGGAAGCGGGUGUGGAUCGAACCUUAGGAGUUCAUUACAUUUAGAUUUUUGUAAGCAGAGUAGUAUCUCUUUAGAAUCACCAAUUUGAACCAGUUAAAGUUUAUUACUGUGGCUUUUGAAUUAUGCUGAAAAUAUCAGCAGAGAUGAUCUUUCUCAAUGGGGACACAACGUAAAGCAUCUAUAAAAAUUGGAAAUGGUUGCCGUAACAACAGCCGUUGGUUUGUAAGGGCCUCAGUUUCACAUUUGGGCGGUCAGCAUCUUUUGCAACCAUAAGUGACAUGAGCGGGCGACUAAAACCGAGCCUUCUAUAAGACUAUAAAAAUAUCAUUACUAAAACCAUGAACAUUCAAUGAAGGAGUUGAAAGUCAAAAACACAGACGUCUCCCAUAUUGGAAAAAGCCGUGGUAGCAACCUGCCAAUCACAAGUUAGCCACGCCCUCAGGCCAACCCGGCUUUAUGGUCCCACUUAGUCUAAAUGGGGCCGUCAUUAACUAAGUAAACCACUGAAUGAGACGUCAUGUUCACAAUGUUUAUUGAGGUAAUAAAUCAAGUGAAAUGUGGUGUCAUUUUCUCUUCGGCUCCUAUGCAUUCAGACUUCUUUUUGCAACCAGAGGAGAAAACGAUGGACAUUAGUUUGAAUGCUUAAGGCGCUUCCACAUUGGCAUCCCUCUUUAAAAACAUAGGUCGCUGUCUGGUCGCAACAACCGGGGCAGAUAUCUAAAAAGAAAAGCAAUAGUCACUUUGGAAAAAUAAAACUCCUUUUUUGACUGUUUAAUCUUCUGCCCUGACUAACUGUUGUUUGUCUUUGACAGGGUGACGAGGAAGAUCACGCUGACGUUUCGUCUUGUCCAAGGUAAGAACACAAGACCGCCUGUAUCUCUUUGCUCCAUAAAAAAAAAACCCUGCUGUAACUCAAUAGUUUUUCAUCCUCUCAGUUUCUCUCUCGUUGUAUUCAGACCUCAUGUGCUGCUUUUAUCCGUGCUGAGUACUCUUCUCAGAAUUUAGGAGGGCAUGAAACCCAUUUUAUUUUCCGUGUUGAUAGACAUAACUCUACUUCCCCUGCUAAAACAUUAAAGCGGUGAAUUUGUACAAUAUUGUAGGCUUGUUUUGCCAUCACAUGAAAGGGGACUCCCUCUGCCAAAUCAAUAAUGGUAGCCAUAUGUGUGAGAAGCCUCAAUGCCGUGCAAGCUGUUGUGAAUAUUUGGGAACAAGGCAGGCAGUGUAUGAAAUCACAUUUCUGUCCUUUUGAAUCAGAACUGAGAUUCUCAAUACUCAGGUGAUGCGUUUGAAUUUAAGAAUACUGUUGGAAAAUUCACAUGCUGCCAACCCUGCCGGCCGACCUGAACCCCCCCCGACGAGAACCUGUGGCCCACCAGUAUGGUGGUCUGCUUCUCUGUCAGUAGCACGUCUCCGGCCAUAUCUGGUUGCCGUGGUGACAUGCCCAUGUCAGCAGCAGUGUGUGUGUGUGUGUGUGUGUGUGUGUGUGGCGGGCGAUGAAAGGACUCUGUGGAGGCGGAUAGAAUUCCUCUGUCCAGAAACGCCAGCGGGACGCACACAUGUCGGCGCUCGUGGAGGGGAAACCUCAGACAUGUGGGCACGCAGGAGACGCACGUGUCACAAAAGUGUACACAGCCACAACGGUACAGGACAUGGGCAGAUGCAGCAGACACACACGUAGAGCGAUAUCCAGAUUCCACGGAGGGCGCGGCCAUGCAUUCACGCUGACAGCUCAGGACUCUAGGGUUACAUACAGGGAAGUCCAUGCGUGCCGCAAUGCUUUGAACACUAAUGGUAUGUAUACACACUUUUAUUAACGCACACAGACCUGAAGCUACGGUUUAAUGCCUCCCACUAAAUAAAAUGUCUGCGUCCGGUCCUUAAAGGUCUUUCUUUUAAACAUGAAUGACGGAUGAUGUAUGCACGCAGAAUUAGCGAAUGCAAAUUGUUGCUGGCUCAGCAGCUGCACCGCGGGAAUCUGGGGUUAAGGGCCUUGCUUCUAGGGCAACUUUUAUUGCCGAUGAGGGAGGGAAGGGCAUUACUCAUUUGCUCCCCCCCAGCCAGAACAGACGUCCCCAACACGAGCUGGUUUGGGGAUCUAAAACGAGGACACACGCCUGCCGAAGCCUCGGGCUUCUACUGACAAACAGGUGUAAUGCACAGUUUUUUUUCCUCUAGAAUUUAUUCUCCCCCGUCAGGACGUUGGCCUCGCAGCAAGCAAAGCGUAUGUCAUACCGCUUAAGCAGUAUAAACAAACUAAUGAGAUUCGGAAAAACGUUAAAUAAGAAAGAGGGAAGACUCAAGGGACUGAGACUCUGUAGAGUCUAUCAAAGAUUCAACAUUAUUCAUUUGUUUGCCUCGAGCACCUAAAAUAGUUUUUAUUGACUAUUCAGCCCUUUUGAUCCGACUCUUUUUUUAUUUGCGCAUCACUCUUGGAUGCAUCGUUUUAAAUGGAGAGUACAGAGUGAGCUAAAAUGUAGUUUACACUGCAUUCGCUCUUUGUGUCCGUGUGAGGCUUUCGGAGGUGGUGAAGGACGAGAACGAAGUGGUUCCGCCGCUCUGAACUCAAUGUUGUUUAACUCCCGAGGUCAAAUGAACUAAUUGAAAUGACAACAGAUCCCAGAUUUGAACCCCGAUCAGAUGGGUUCAGAGAAUCCUCCAUGAAGUGAUGCACCUGUAAGAUAACCCGGGACGAUGACAGCCUUUCUUUUAUCUUUCCUUGUCGCACUCUACCACUCGUCCUGCCGUCGGGCCUCUGUUGGCAUUCGUGUCGGCAAAUUGCUUAGUAGACACCACCAUGUCAUGUACACUUGCACAGCGUGUCUGCGUGUGGGGUCGUCAGUAAUGGGAGACUGUGUGUUUUUUGAUCCCUGGGGUUCGCCUUGUCGCCAGAAUCUCCUUAACACCCACACACCCCGUCUCUCUCCGCCUCUCCCACGGCACACACACACACACACACACACACACACACACACACACACACACAACCCUGACCACACUUGGCUAUUUAGGAUUAUAUCCCCACUGAUUUGUACCCUCUACAUGUGCCUGAUUUACUUUGCAAAGGCAGUUUGGGAUGGAUCGAUUUUCCUUUUUUUACAAUUAUGACAAGUUGUUUUUAAGCCUUUUCUGUAUAUUACACCUUAGAGACAGUUCAUGGUAAUGGAUUUAAUAUCACCCUAAAUGUCACUCAUGUUGUUAAACAGCAGGAUAUGUUUUUGUUCCUUUUUGAAUUAUCUCAUCUUUAAUUUAGCCCUUAACAGUUUAAUAGCCAUCGUCAGACUGAGGCAGCUGUUACUAGGAUUUUCUUUUUUUUUGACAUAACCCACUUUUGAAAAGUAAAUGAGAUAAUAGUGAAAGAAAACUACUUCAGCUCAGAGAGAUUUUUUUAAACAUGAAGUUAUUGCAGUACAACGCAUUUAAAAAAAAAGAUGAUUUAUGAGUGUGUGUGAAACAUUAUAGGUAUGUCGCUGAGAUCAAAAUCAAGGCCAUGGUUGUAGAUUGUAGGCGUGCGGUCAGAACAAGGAAUGCCGAAAAGUAGGAGGUCGGUAUGGAGCCGUCCGCCACGGCGGAUACUUAAGUCUGAAAGACUGAGGAUGAGAUCCUGAAAAUGUGAAGACACUCGUUUCUCAAUGUAUAACAAGACAUGCGUGUUGAAAUCCUGCAGGAGGAGAGCUACGUUAGCGCUUAGCAGCAGGUGAGCGGCAAGGUGCUACUUGGUCACAUAAAAGAGCCAACGGCUAAGAAACAGAGGUUGAAUUGUGAUGCGUCCAAGGUCUAUUUCCUAAACCUUUGGAAAAGCUAAAUAACAACCUCGUUAUUUGUUCAUUUCGUGAAUGAUUGAUAUGUUUGCAUUCAAAUAUAUGGAGUUUUUGAUCCUGUUUUGUACCUUUUGGUAUCAAGUUUGUUUGGGAGAAUUGUAGAAUUUCACUCAUAUUUAAAACAAUCACUACAUUUCUUAUAUUUGAAAUGCCGAGACACCACAAGCAUGUAGUGUGUUCCACAACCAGGACAGAAUGAGGACCACUGAUUACCAUGUCUGACCGAGCAUUGCUGACACGAGUGAGAGCAAAGCACAAUACAACCUCAGUGUUGUCUUGACUGUGCACACUGGGCAUCCUUUAGGCCGCUCUCGCAUAUUCCCGGGCGUUGUUGAGUCUACACGUUGCUAUGCACAUUGACAAGGCAAAUCUACAUACACGGCGCCGGUUGCCAUUCGCUGUGACCUAGAAUGGCUGACAAGGGGGAUAAGUCGAGGAAUUGUAUUAACCCAGCCGUGUCCCGAUCACGCUGACAAGACAUUAUUCUUUUUCCUGUUGCUGCUGUUAAGAGCAGAAUGUCUGCUCUGUCAGAUACAGAUGCUGACAAGCCGGCGUUCUGGCGUCUUAAGCGCCGCUGACCAGGGAAUAGGAACUAAGGAGUAGAAGUCAGGCCGGCUGUAUCGACGGCGCAUGUUGACAAAGCAGCAGAGAGCGUUGCGUUGGCCUUGUGUUUGACACGGGACUGGUGACAAGUCCUUGCUAUUCCACACCCGUGUGAGCACGGCGAGGUCACGCUGACCCAAGCCCGCUGGUCCGAGGGGACUGCACUUGAUUCUACUGUGUCUUUUCCUGCGAACAUUGUGAGUGUCCAGCAUGUGUGCGCAUUGAUUAGCCAAGAUGUGUGAGCUCGGCUCCUCGGGACGGCCCCGGUUGUUGCCGGAGGUCAAUGCGUGUGCGCUCUUAAGUGUGUGUUUGCGCUCGCGCGCGUGUGUGUGUAUUUGCCAGGCGGUGGGGGGUUAGGCCCGGAUUGCAAUGACAAUGGAGAGGAAUUUAAAUGAGAGAAAAGAGGGAGAUCAGGGACGUUUGCAAGGAGGAUGGAAGAGGCUUUGGCACCAUUGUUAUUCUUCCUCUUUGUUAUUCUGCCACUCUAUCUCUCUAUUACAAAUCCUCCACUCUGUGGCUCUCUCACUCGGCUAUGUUUGUCACUGAAAUCACUCUGUUAAUUUGAUCCCAACUUAUCCCUAUCUUGAUUUUUUCCCCCUCUAUGUCAACUCCCUGUUGGGAAAGGUUUUCUUUUUUUUUUCCUUCUACUUGCUCUCAAGAGUCACACGUGCUUCACGUCACGCCAAGUUGGGGAAUCUGGGGUUUUUGCCCCGGAUCCUUAUUUGGGUUGUAGAAACUGACCAGAUACUUAUCUUAUACUAAUCUAUGAUACAACUACGCUACUAACUACUGCGGCAUCCAGCUCGGUAGUUGCUGCUAAUGUAACGGCGGUGCUGUUUUAAAUCCUAAAGUAGCUUUGGAUUGUAAUCGUUCAGUGCCGAAAAUAUUAAUCAGCGCAGUGACAAGAAUCUGUCUUGUCAGGUUUGGUCAAAUUUUGUGUUCAUGGAGACAAUUUUUUUUUCUUCUUUUCAGGUAUAUUGUUUGUUAAACAUACAUGUCUAUAAACAUACAUCCAAGAAUGAAAAAAAUAUCAUUCAUUCACUUUUUUAUUUCUAAUGUAAGUAAGUCAGGUUCCGCCUUCUAUUUGUGUCUCAUAUUGAGGGCUGUCCUCCACCAAAGUCCUCCUCAGCCGGCUAACAGUUUGUUGACUAAUCAAUUAGCUGAUUUAAAUCGACAGAUCUGUGAACCUUGAGUAUCUCUUACAAUCACACAGAAGCUUCACUGGAAAUCUGUGAAACCACGUGUCCCUCUCCUUGACCACCAAGCACCAAACACGGAGUCGACUGAGAACUAAAAACAACCGAUUUGUUCCUCAAUCAGGAGGUUCCCCUAUAAUAUCCAGUGUGUCUUUCAAUGUUUUUUUAAUUUUUAUUUAGUGUCACUUGACUUCCUCCCGUCAGCAGUGACUCACCGUUCCUCUGUGGCUCUCUUUGUCUUGUCGCUCCCCCCAUCGCAGUGUUAUUACCUCUACAGUCUCUGGUCAGAUCUAGUGCAGUUGCUAAUAUAACCACUCUCAAAACAGGCUCAUUGAUUUUAAUCCCUCUCUCUCUUUCUCUCUGUUAUAGACACACACACACACACACACACACACACACACACACACACACACACACACACACAAACAGACUUUCUCUCUCAGUUUCUGUUUGCCUGCCCCUCUCUCUCUCUUUCUCUCUGUAGCAGCUCUAAUUGCGAUCAAUUAUGAAACUUCAGAAGGCUGAAAUAGGAGCUGCGACAAGGGGCAUCCGCUGAGCUGGCAGGGGGAGAGGGAAGGGGGGGAGAGGCAAGGGGGGGAGGAGGGGAAAACGGUGACAUAGGAGCGCAGAGUGGAUGGGAGGGGCAGCGGAGAGAAGUCCAAGUCGGUGUCGAGAGAUGAGCUAAUGGUAAUGGCUUGAUUGAUGUGGCCACAGCAGCUGAAAGUCACAUCGUUUUUCAUGCCAGGUAUUGAUUCCUGACAAGCCCUUGUUAGUUUUUGGAGCGCAGUCGCCAUGGCGAGGAGUUGUAUUCCCAUCUGCUAUGGUCACUCUGGUGCUUCGAACAAAAGCUCCAUACACAUAUUCUGAGCAUUGCAGCUGGAAUGAGAGUAAACCGAUUUCAAGAGACAAUUUGGUUGCAACAUAAUAACUUGUAAUGCUUUUAUAUAUUUAUUGAGUUUACACUAUUUAUUUUGUUUGUUUAAAUUCAUAGUUGUUUUAGUAUUGUAACCAAUAUCCUCAGUGAUAUCGGUUUCAAUACGGAUACUCUUUGCAUCCAUCACCUCAUUUCGGAGAAAAUAAAUACAUUGCAUAAACAAAUUUAUUCCUCAAUCCUGGAGGAGUGAAGUAAAAGUAAUGAAUGUGUUCUUAACUGUAUUCAGCAGAACAUAAAACUCGGGUAAACUUUUACCAUUUGUCUUCAACUCUAAAAGUUGUGCGGCUCCGCUACAAGGCGGCUUUGCCUCCCUGUUUUAAUUUGAUUCCCUCCACGCUUUGCGUACCUUUUCAACGUAAGCCAUUCGGAACUAGACUCCGAGUGAAGAUCAUGCAAACAGAAGCAACUUUAUCACUUCCAAUUCAUUUUUAAAUGUAUUACCGACUGACCCCCUAAACACAAUCUUCAGCUUUGCUUGAACAGCUCUUUAUAGAAAAACAAGGAACUUAUUUCAGUUUGAGUCAAGUACACCCCACCCCGGGGCAAAGAUUAUAAAUAACAUUAUUAUCUGGAAAUAUUCCUUCACGGAGGCUGGAGCGUGCUGGUUGCCUUAAGCUCUCUGAGGCACCCGCUGAAAAAUGUUUCCAACAUCGCAAUUCUACAAGAUUUAUGUUGUUCCAGCAAGAUCCGGGCUCGACUUGCAGAUAAAAUAAGCUUGUUGUAAAUAAAUCUAAUGGUAAUUUACCAACGGUUUCCUGUCAGAGAUUUGGAAAAAGCCUUGGGUUUCUUAAGGGUCUCUGUUUUUCAUACAUGUCCUGCAGGCUGAGAGCCUCUGGUCUCAUGUUUAGCUGCCUGUGCCUUGGGGCAUACAAACCCUUUUAUCUUGUCACCCUAAUGCACGUGUAUGUGUGCGAGGCGGAGGGAGAGGGAGCAUGUGAGGGAGAUUGAAGGAUCAAUACUAAGCCGUCAGGAGGUCUGCUACUCCCAGAGACACAGAGAGAGAGAGAGAGGGGGGGGGCACCCAGAAGAGAGUGGUGAACGAGAACGUAAUAGAGAAAGGGAAGAGGAAGAGGAAGAGACAAAGGGAAAGAGGGGGUGAGGUGGCUGGGAAGAAGGGCAGCCACAGGAAAUGUAUGGAGAUGGAAACGGAGAGCAGAUUUGGCUGGUGAUAAAUUAACCGAUGCAAGGGAGACGGGAAAAACAGAGAGGGUGAAGAUAUAAUGCAGGUGGAAAGAAAAUGAAGACAGGGAAAGAGGAGGUGAGGAAAAGGGAAGCUGCUGGUCUACAGGGAGCGCAGUACUUGUUACAGCUAAAGAGAGGGGGAACUUAACAUUAUAAUGGGAUGAGAAACAAGAUACACGUUACGUUUUGGCUCCCUCUCUGGGUUCUCCACAAGGGUAUGGAGACACAUUCAUGUAGAGCACACGGGGGGCUACCGGGCUCGCGUUGUUUUGCAUUGGAGGGCAGCAGUGGUACGGCGUGCGCUGUGACUUGUUCAUCACGUGUAUUCAAUUAGAAUUCAAAAUGAUUACGCUAUCAUAAAGUAGGGAGUUGGACUUAAAGGAGUAGUCGAGGGUUUGGCGAGAUGUGCCGCUAAUUAAAAGCUUGCACUUUAAAGAGGCCAAAACAUGCAAGAUGUACAAUAUAUUUCAAAUAUAACAAAACGGUCUCAAAAGUGACUGCUGGGCUCCGAGGAAGAGAGCUUCAACUUGUUAGAUUCAAGAGAGAAAUUGUCCCGUUGCCAAAAACUCACAAAUUUGAUCCUUCAAAAUGUGUCCAUCAAAAUGUCAGGUGUCCUGUUGAAGUGCCAGACAGCCAAUCGCUGUGCAGCGUGCAGGAUGCAAAUGCCCGCAUGUGUACUUCUUCGUAUUCCCUGCGCAUGCAGUAAUAGAGAAUGAAUAUCGGCUGUUCAGAGCAUGUUUUCUCCCAGCGAGCCUCACUGCGCCCCGAGUCCACACACUUUAACUUCUUUCGACUCCAGUGGGAUUCAAAGUUUGAUCUCUGGCCGUGUUUGUUUCAUGCAGAAGCUCCAGCACAAAAAAACAAAACUAAGAGUAUUUAUAACAUUGGUCUUGAUGCAUAAUUCAGUUGACAUAAACAUGAAAUGAGGGGGGCAAACGAAACUGUAUCCCACAAGAUCUAAAAGCCUUGCCUUGACACCCAUAAUGAAUAUUUAAACCUUGAUGACCCUACGCCGGUACGUCUGUGAAUGAUUUACACUUCUGCCUCACGGAUGGCUAUUUUUAUACCUUUUUGUCUUUUUUCUUUUUCAAAUUCCCGUAUCACAUCUUUUUAUCGUCUUCUCUUUCUUCUUCUGAGAAGACAGAUCGCAGUAAGACAGGAACCUGUCGGGUGCCGAAGAAACCCGUGCAAGUAAAAGAAAAGGGGGAAAGAACUAGAAAGAAAAGACCACAUCUUGUGAUCAUCUUUGACUUAUCUGUGAAUAUCAUCAGCUGUAAUCAUCUUUCCGCAAUAUAUUUCACCCCCCGAUGAUUAAGUUUCUUAAUGGGCCCUGGGAAUAGUAUUAUUUAAUGUAGGGGAAUAGGAUGGAGAAUAAUACCCCAUUAUUAAUAAAUGUAUUCCAGAUGAAGAAUUUCAAUUGUGAGUUUCCUUAUACUUGGGCCCAUAAUGACCCUGUAGGUUCCUUCAUAAAAGAAAUGACUCCGAGGCAUAACACCGUUUUUCACAGUGAAGCAAAGGGAUGGAACGAAACAUCUCUUCUCCCACUAAUGCUUCAUCUGGUUUGUAGCGUGAUCGGUAAAGGGUGAUAGGCUUUUUAUGCCUUGAAUACAGAAUUUACAGAAUGGUUUUCUCAUGCUGGUUGGCGAGUCACUGUGCAGGGGUCCAAACAGGUAAUGAUAAUUUCGUAUGAUGGGUGCAAAAAUUAUGAAAACCCACAUGUUUUAAGUUUGGGCAUAGCCCAUAUUUUCCUGAAAGGACAAUGCCAGGGUUGGUUUUGGGUGCUCUGCUUUAAAAAGUGCACAAUAAAUAAAGGUAAUCCUUUCAAUUGCGCAUUGAUUAAACCCUUAAAUGUCUGUGUGUCAAAUGCAGCACUUGUUAAAUUGUGUAUAUGUAUAUUAUAAACUAUGAGCCGUAUCUGAAACCGUAUCAAACGCAAAGAAAAUCUAAUUUUCUUUCUAAACAUUUUUUAUCGAAUCUUUUAGAUCCACAUUUCGCCAAUGUUUUACCUUUUUGGCUUAUUUUAAUGACUUAGCACAACAUUUGACAUAUCUGUUUUCCUUUGGUAAAUAAAGUAAAUUGAAUUUGAAAUCGUUAUAUAAAGAUUAAAUGAUAAAAUGAGAUGACACCGCUCAACGCUCACUUGUUUUAUUAUAUACCAGGAAAAAAAGGCUCAGAAAUGGAAUAAUAGCAGAUCACUGCAACCAGCCCUUCUCAUACCUAACAGCACUAUCAGUCUUACAUGCCUGUCUAGGAUUAGACACAUCUAGUUAUGAAGACCAACAGCCUCAUUUACAACAGAACAUGGCUCUGCAACCUGCAUCCAUCUCUCUGUUUGUCUCAAGGUUAGGGCUCACAGGGGAGGAGAGGCAUCAGGUUACACUAAUGCAUCAUGGCUGCUGGAGGACACACAUGCACAGGCCUCGUCAGCCACUGUCUCACCCCGUCUCGCCUUCUCUUUCCCCCCUUACACACAAACACACACGCCCUGGUGAGCUGAAACCCCCCCUUUAGUACAGGUCUAAGGGCACACUGUGGCCUUGCUCCAUCGUGCCCUUGUAACCUGCGAGCAGUCUGCCGUCGGUCCGCUGGGCAAAUCACUUGUCUCUAAAAAUAAACUGAAAGCAUCACUGAAGGCCUGGCUGAGGUUAGAGCGAGAAAGAGAGAGGAGAAGAACAGGACACCCAGGAGAGAGUGGAGAGGGAGAACGUAAUAGAGAGAGGGAAGAGGGUAAGAGAGAGAGAAAGAAUAUUAAGUAUUACUCUUCUUCAGUCUAUUUUAUACAUUUAGGACAAACUCCAACACUUUGAAGUAAUGUACAAAAGGGGCAGCAUCGCUCACCAAUCAAUUACCAGUUAAUCUUGACGGGAGGGGGAAGCAAAGAGCUGAUAUGGUAUUAUUGACACACCUACACUAUACAUGCUGAGGCUGCAUUACUCCUGUUUAUAAUGCGUUUGGCCCACUCUGGCCUCCUUUCCAGUGUUUGUCACAGUGUGCAGAGAUUGCUGUUGCUCAUUAAGUCCUCCAAAUUGCAGUUGUGUUCUCACUCAAGCAGAAUCUUAAUCUUCAUCUCUGCAUCCAUUUAGCUUCCUAUCCAUUAGUACGGAAAUGGUUGGUCAAUUAACGCAGUUAUUUUUCAGGUACUUUGUAUUUUCUGUAGUUGGUUGGAUCAACAUCCGCAGCGGAUUUCUUUUACUACUUUAAUAUAGCUUAAUGAUUUAUUAAUCAGAACUAAUUGGAACGUUCACAAAAUUUUCAUUACGCACUUUUUUUUAUUUUAUGUUCUGGCUGGGUCCCGUUCCAUGUCCCAGAAGUUGAAGGCAAAACAGCAGUGUUAAGUCCAUACAGCAUUGGUAACACACUUUAACACACCGUCAUCAGAUAAAAACCAAUGCGCAUUCACGCAGACGGAGAGAGAGGCCUCCUCUAGGGAUCAAAUGCCCGUCCACGGUGCCCUGUGAGCAACCAGCGAGUUAAAUAUCCGUCAGAACACCGACCAUUGACCUCUAAUAUUAAGAAAAGACUAGGGUUCAAAGGGGUCAUAUCCCCCCCCUGAAUGUCAUUCCCUUCUUUCCACACACAUGCACUUAUACACACACACACACCCCCACACACUCUCUCCCUGGUGCAGUGAGAGGGCCUUAUUGUGUAAGCCGGAGGAAAUGCAGAGACAUUGCAGAGGACAGGGCAUCCAUUGAUCCGACUAUAGACUCUUCUCCUACUCAGCCUCUCCUCUCGUCGCUGCCUUUUUUUUUUUCUAUCCCAACCCUUCGCUUUCUCUGCUCUUUGUGUUAUCAGCACUCCACUCUCCUAUAGUUUUUGUCUCCCUGUGAUCCACCACCCCCUCUUCCUCUAUAUUAUUGCUUUCACUCUCCAGGCCAUUUCUGCUCCCCUCUGUCUCUCUCUCUGCCUUCUCAUGCCAUGAUUUCUCCCUCUCCGCAUCUCUUUAUAAUCUCCAUCUAACCAAAAACUCCUCCUUCCUCCUUCCUAUUCACUUAUCUUCUCUUCAACUUCCCUUCCAUCUCUUAAAUGACUUACAUUUGUCCCUCUGUCUCCAACUAGUCAUGCAACUUUGGAGCAGAAACUUAGUUGGAAACAGAAAGUGGAUCAUGGGGACGAGAAGGAUCAUGAUAACAAGUGAGCAAAGGAAGCUUGUGUGAGAAAGUGAAAAUAAUGAAGGGAUGACAAGCAACUGAAGGGUGUGAGGAUGGAAGAAAGAAAGGAAAGGAGGAAGGAAAUCAGCUUGACCACAGGUAGUAUAUGUUAAAUGGUGUUGGAGCAGUGCCAUUAAAAACAGGCACAGAGCUGAACAGGAAGAAGUGAUUUAGUGAACACACACUCACUCAGUCACACACAGCGUGACUUCAGUAAUGGCCAAAGGAACCGUAAGGUGGGAAGUAGGAACCCUGUGGUGGCAAGUAGGAACCUUAAGGUGGCUAGUAGGAACACUGAGGUGGCAAGUAGGAACCUUAAGGUGGGUAGUAGGAACCCUGAGGUGGCAAGUAGGAACCUUAAGGUUGGUAGUAGGAACACUGAGGUGGCUAGUAGGAACCUUAAGGUGGCUAGUAGGAACACUGAUGUGGCUAGUAGGAACCAUGAGGUGGCUAGUAGGAACCUUAAGGUGGGAAGUAGGAACCAUGAGGUGGCUAGUAGGAACCAUGAGGUGGCUAGUAGGAACCUUAAGGUGGCUAUUAGGAACCUUAAGGUGGCUAUUAGGAACCUUAAGGUGGCUAUUAGGAACCUUAAGGUGGGUAGUAGAAACACUGAGGUGGCUAGGAGGAACCUUAAGGUGGCUAGUAGGAACACUGAUGUGGCUAGUAGGAACCCUGAGGUGGCUAGGAGGAACACUGAGGUGGCUAGUAAACCCUCCUGCUUUGUACAUCCCUUCUCAUCUCUCUGACUUUUUGCCUCCUCUCUGUCCUUACCUCCCUCGCCGCUUGCAUGAUUCCUUCUUCACCUCCACCUUCUCCCACCCUGUCUCCAUCUCUGCUUCUGGCACUCCCCCCCUCCUCCCUCCUUCCUCUUUGCCCUGCUCCCUUCCUGCUGGACAGGCUUUUAUUUGAGCCAUGUGGACCUCCCUAAUGACAUGUGGACCUUGGUGUGUGUGUGUGUGUGUGUGUUUCUCUGCGAGAGUUGUAGGUGCUGACAUGUGCAUGCGUGCAUGUGCACGUGUGCUUGAUGUGCUGACGCACGUGUGUGUAUGUGCGAUGGAGGUGCUGACAUGUCUGAUCGUCGUGUAGUUCUCCCACUGAAGUUCUGCCGACGGCCUCUUACCUUUGAACAGGCCAGUGAAGGGGAGGGGGGGGGUAAGAAAAAAUACCGGAGCACUAUGCCAGAAAUGUGAAGAGAAGCAGAGGGAAGGAGGGAGGACAAAGUGAGAGAAGAGAAGGGGUGGUAAGUGGGACAUUGUUACAGUAAUUAACACAGAUGAGAGAAUGGGAAGAAGGGAGAACACAAUCGGGUGGUUCUCGCGGCGCACACAGGGUGCCGGAGAUCACGCGUGUCCCUGAUCAGAGGGACUCCGGGAGACGAGGGUGGGUGGGGGGGUGGGUUUGUUGGUUGGUGUCGUGGUGGUGGCACCGUGAAAUGAGCCUUGUUGGAAGAUGACGGGUCUUACAGGGCCCCCGUCUAGAGCUUGUGUUCUAAGCUACUACCAAGAAGUUUACUUCACCAAAACGCACCUACCAACUCCCCAUGGACAAAAGGUACUUUUCUAAAGCCGUUCUUUUCCGAUAGUAACCAGCACUUUCCACAGUGGUUGAGUGUUUUAGGAAAGCAUAGGCAGCUUCUUCAAAUGACUUUAGCCCAAUUAGUGGCAGUGCACAUGUAGCAGAAAGAGGAAAACCGGCAAACAUUAAAGAGUUCACACAUAUGGUUUGCAUCUUUCUUAUUCUAUUCAAUUAAAACUGGCAGCAAUUAGAAUCUCGAGAACCGUUUCACCUGUGAAUUCAGCCGUCCACACACUAUUUCAUCUCCUCCGCGAUAGUCAUCGAUAUUUUCAAUGAUUAACAAAAUGUAACGCAUAGUUUAAUACACAAAACCUAUGAUUGGUCAAAAAAGAUUCAAUUCUUAAUUUUGGACUUUAAGGAAUGCCAUUUGUAUACAUUCAGUGGGAUAAAUGGGAAUAUGAUUAAACGGCGCGAGGUGUGUGAGCAGAUGUCUUGAUAUGGUUUUACUUCAGCUCAUCACGACUUCUAAAAUUCUACAUUCAAACGUGGAAGUGUGCGAGAAGAACAAAGCUUUAAAUUUUUCAACGUAUCAUGCAGUGAGUGAUAGACAUUCAAAUGGUCAUUUAGUGAAUAAAACAUUCUUUUGCAGAAAAAGCUCAGAAGGAAUUACAAGAACCAUUGUAUGGUCCCAAAAGCAGAGAAUCUUAUGAAAGAGAGAGGAAGAAAAUGCUUUUCUGGGUUCAAGUCAAUAGCAUUGCUGUGAGAAAGAAAGUCCAUGGAAGACUGUAUUGAAUGGAUAUCGACUAGAAUGGGAAAAUCAUUGAACAAGUGUCCAGCAGAGGAUGUGAACCAAAGAGAGAGCCGAGAUGAGAGCUGCAGGGACAUGUUUUGGUCAGUAUUUGUCUUUUUAGGGACAUUUUGAUCUCCUUGGAGGUUGAUUAUACCUAUAAGACCAUCACAGUGGUUUAAUGUUUAUAUGGAUGUCUCCAUAUGUUUAUCUUUUUGCAACAUCUGCCUGUUUCCCAGACUAAUCUAUCAAGUGCAACACCCACUUGCGGUGUUAUGUUGAUUAAACCGAUCAAGAAUACCAUUAAAGGCGGUACCCUGCAGCGCGUACGCUAUAUGACCUUUAACUAUCUAGUGUAUCUAUUUGUUGAAUUUUUUCUUCUCCACACAUAUAGUACAGCCACCAGGGCACCGUCAGGCUUUGCUAUGUGUACCUUGAAGAACGAGAUGCCUCCUCAAAUGACUGGAAUCCAGUUGGUAUUCUCGACUGCCCUCUAUGUGCGAUUGUAUAUUACCAAGGAUCGGUCUGAUGACGCUCCGUAUGAUUGAAAUAACACGGCAUCUCUUUGUAGUUCCAGCCCCAUGUUUAAAAGACAAAAGGAAAGAGAGAUAACAGAGACUGCUUCGUCUGCUAUAAUGGACUCUCGCUCAACAGAAUGCCAUAUGGAUCCUGCAAAGCACCCAUCAAAUGCACACUACAAGAACCCGAGAAGUCCAGAUUAAAAGCCUGUGAUGCUGCCUGAAAAGGAGAAAACCAAAGAUUGUGAACUGACUGUUUAAGUGCAGUAUACAUGUACUGUAUUUAUUACUGUAUACUGGGUAAAGUCCCUCGUGUCCCUGUUGCUCACACGCGACUUUGGGGUCCCAGAAGUUGGUGUAGGAAAUGUUUGACAGUGCGGCUAGUUAACAAUGAUUGAUGCCCGUAGCCCUCUCAGCUGUUAAGGAGAGAUGAGGGGAAGCAAGUGAUGCAAGGCGGAUUGGAAGCUGCCUGCUGGCAUCUGACUUUAGGAAUGGUGAUUAAAAACACAUUAUGACAAAGGCAACAUCUGGCGGUGCAUUCAGAUCCUCAGAACAGUAGUGCACUGCUACGUUACCUUGGCAUCACAUGCACAGUGGAUGAAAGGUGUGCUCCAAACAAUGAAAAACAAACAAAGAAGUUUUGAAUUAAAGUCCCAUUUUGUCUGCUCGGUGGUGCUUUCGGCAAACUGAAAACAAUCCCCAAAUAGGCUAAUUAGUUUCAUUAUUGUGUUAUUUGGAUUCAUUAACUUAAGUUUAACUCAACAUUUGUACUUUAUGUAGUUAAUAAUAUCAGUCAGUCAAUUACUCUCUGGCUGGUAAAUUAUUUUAACAACUUGACAUAAGGGGAUUUUUCCUCCAAUUAAUGUUCAUGGAAUACAGCGUAAUCUUUGCUGUGGUUUAUUUGGUUCCCCAGGCCAAGAUCGUUACAUGUAACCUAUCAGCACCAUGGAAAAAAAAUGUAAUUAAAAGCAAAAUAUAGUCUGACUAAUGGGAACAAUUUACUUUGAUGACACGCCACAAAAGACAGCAUCUGUUCUGGCGCUGAUACCCGAGGGCUGUGAGCUCAGCGCGCCAUCCUGACAAAGCAUGCGUGAACGAUUGUCAGCAGGAGUUUCUACUCGGGAUCAGAUGACAUUUUGUGAAAGUCAGCCGUCACCUCAUGAAAUCGCUGAAGACAAUCUAGUCAACAUCAUUAGAUGGACGUGUUCACUCUGAUCUGAACACGUCCUGACCUGAAAAAUUAGACUACAGACGCAAUGCUGUUGAUUCUGCGUUGUGUUUUCUGUGAAUGAUCUUGAAGCUGGGGGAUAGUUGUUUUUUUUAUGCAAAACACUGCUGGUUCGAAUGGGAUUUACAACCUUUGACAUGAAGUCAAUUACUUACCAUAACAACAAAGGGCCAUGAAAGAGAGAAACAUAGAGGCCGGUGUCGUAGACGACUGUUGCAAUGCAGCAAAUAUAAUUUUGUUGCGUAUGCAAGUUGGACACAUUGAAAGGUUCACUGCAGUAGAAUUAAAAGCCUUGACACGGUUACACCGUUUGUGAAGAAGGUUUGUUUCUGAAUUGUACUCGUGAAUGUUGAAAAGGUGUGCGGUGAGGAAAGCGCCUCAUCCUUCUCUCGUGCUACGUCUUUAGCUUUAACUCCCCACCCGCAGUGGUAGUUGGGCCAACGUCAAGCGUGGACUGACACGCCGCCCAUGACGUGUCCACAUCUGCAGGUUUAAGUGGGGAGCCACAGCAUGGAGCGUAGUUUGAAUUACUGUAUUUGAGGCAUUUGGGUGAGAAUGUGUUGUCCCUUGUUUCACUAAAAAGGCCGUUUGAAGGAAAGAAACUGAAUGGAAAGCCAACCUAAUGAUGUGCUCCUCUUGUUCGCUGACAAUCUGUUAUAGAAUUUUGCGAUAUACACUGACAGCUUUGUCAGUGCUACUCAAGCAAGAGGAGGUAUUAAGGAGCAACGUGUUGUGACUCAUCAGUGGGCGACUGUCUCACUCUGCUGCGAUGAAUUAAAUCGGGUUCAUUGAAACGGUGUCCUUCUUUCCCACUUAGGCCUUUGUUAUAAAGUUGUAAAUCCACAAGACGGUUCGGGUAAUCAAACAUGUUAGUCGAACUAUGAUGCGAGGUUCAGAUAAGGUUUAUUUUUAUAUGCGGACAGGAAAGAGGAAUUGUAAACUACAUGCUCAAUAGUGUGUUCAAAGUCAAUUUAUAGUUCAUAUUGUACUCUGAUAUCUCCUCACGAUCUCGUGUGUGAAAUAGGUCUAUUGUGUGUAAGUUGAUGCGCGCGUCACAAUUCUCAUUGAGCGCCUCAAAUCAGAUGCCACUUCAUCGAUAGGAUAUUUCACUGCCUAAAGGGGAAAAAAGGAAAGGAUUGAAGUGAGUAUGAAACUGACCAGAAUAUGUCGGCCAAUUGGAGCUUGAGAUUGGAGCAAUCGGAUGCAGAUGUUGUCAUCUGGUUGAAAAAAAUAGCUGUAAAUGAAAUAUGAUUUUUAAAUGUUCUGAUGUAUGAGAAUGAAUGGAAACAGAUACUCAUCCCGUCUCAACCAUUUUUUGUGAGAAACUAAUGGUUGUGUGAUUUGCUCAAAGACCCUUUUACCCGCGGACAGAAGGAGCCGGGGCGGGUUAUAAUAUAUAACCGCUAACUUUGUCGUGAAAGGACGACUCUGCUCAAUGAGACACAACCAUCAAGCCAUUGUUUGGCGUAUUGAAGUAUUGAUAUUCAAUGAUCCCUUCUUUCAAAAUGUCAGAUUCUACUGUAGAAUGAUGACACUUUUAAUGUCAUGAUUAUGCCAUUACAGCUCUUUAUUAAGGUAAUUGAUUACUUCUGCUCUAAAAAAAUAAGUAGUUCUGUGACGUUGGCCUGUUCCUUGGACAAAUGAGCACUUGACGAUUUCCCUUUUUGGUCCCUGGAAAACAGACUUUUCUCCAUGCUCCGACCUUUUAUUGACCUUGUAAUUAUUCAUUCAUCCAAAACAAUUAUGCCAUGAAUUUUAUGAGAGCGCUGCUGCAGCUGUUGGAAAUUAGGCUCAAAAAGUAAUAUAAGAAAUUGCCCGGUUGGUCUCGCCGAGUGGCGAAGUUUAAUUCGUCAUGGUCUUAUUGAAAGUGUUCGCACACACGGAUACAACCGCACACGGUCACAGCCGUACAAACAUAAUGAUAUGGAUUUGCAGCCUGCACACACGCACACACACACACACACACACACCUCUGGGACCCGGCCUGGGUCUCUAUUGUAAAUGAUGCAGUUCGCCUGUGUGAGCUGUGGUUGAGUUAGUAGCUAAUUAGUUUGGCACGCCAGCCUUCUUCCCAGGACCUGUGUGUGUCUGUCUGUGUGUCUGUCUGUGUCUGUGUCUGUGUGUGUGUGUGUGUGUGUGUGUCUGUGUGUGUGUGUGUGUGUGUGUGUGUGCUGGAGGUGCAGUGGGGGGUUUAAUCCUCUUUACUUGUUGUUCUACACCACUGCCACCCCCCCGAUUCUUUCUGUUUUCUUUGCCCCUUUCUCCACUUCUUUUGGCUUUGUCUUUCACCAUGUUUGCGUUUUGUCCCCUCUCUGCCUGUUCCUCCCCUUUUGUCCCUUUUUUUUAAUCUUCCCCCUCUAUUACUUUCUCUCCCUUUCCAUGCCCUGCACCCCCCCCCCCCAUUUUAUUUGCUUCUCCCUCUGACCCUUGUUAUUUCCCCUCUCCAUCCAUCUCCUGUAUUUAAUGAAAGUCCCUGUUAUUGGACUAAUCCAGUGGUGGAGUGUUCUCAGUGUCUCCCUCGCUUCAUUCCUCCGUAUCUCACCGCUCAUCCUGCAUCUUUAGAUUUCCCUCUCACCCUCCACUAAUGGAAGUCCCCCCCCCUUCCCCUCCGCUAUCUUUGUAAUCCAGUGUCUCCUUGCCUCCACCUUUCUGUUGCUCUUUCUUUUCCUCUUCCCCUCUGUAGACUAAUGAAAGUCUGUGGUGUUGGUCUAAUCCCCUGGCUGUGUGCUCACAGCCCCUUUGUUGGUCAAAUCUGACUAAUGCCCUCCGUCUCAGUCCGCAGCACAGCAGCCUCUUACCUCAUUCCUCACACACACAAACCCUAUGGGGAAUAUUAUGAUUUUUGUAGAAAGUGUAUGUGUCUUUCUCUUGUUUGAUAAAGACUCGACACGGCGUCCAAUUGGAGAAACACGCAACACCAUGUCGGUUUUCUACUUUCACACUCAAGCAAUUCAUAUCGAGAGUUGAAGCAACACAGUGGAGUGCUGUUUAAUUUACUUUAUUCUCAUUUUUUAAUCUCCACUGUGAUUAAAGACGUUCAGCAUCCUACAUCUCCACUGAGUAGUGGUCCAUGCUAUGUGCAUAAAUAAUGAAAAUGAAUAAAUUAAUGCAUUUGAAUAAUGCCUGUAUUUUUCAUGUUCUUCUUUAAGGGGAAAUUACUGUAUUUUCUUGAUGAAUUUGGACUCUCAAACAGUGGACUUUUCUGAUAUAAUGUCUGUGAAUGUGUGGUCUGUGCUACAAAACUAUAAAUCCAACAGUACGUCUUUGCGUCCAUGAACUGCCUGCAGCAGCAUCGUAGUAGCGACAGCAGGCCGACCCUGAUACCCCCCCCCCCCUCCUCCCAGGAUCAUUUCCAACAUCGCCUUCAUCACUCAUGGCCAUAACUUCAUUCGGGCGGUAAGCAGAUUGACCCUCCGAUGACUGCUCUUAUUAAAGGGCAGACGGUGACCUCAUCUCACCCCCGUCAUCCUUUUGCCAUGUUAAUGGUUUGUAUUGACGGACUGAUACUCUGACACACGUGUACUUGUUUUAGUCAAUGUCCCACACAAAAAUGUGCGCAUGAUAAAUACAGUACGCGCUGCAUUGUGUUCCAUAUCGAUUGAUCUUAGUGCGCCGGCAGCGUGGCAUCAUUGACUGUGGCCGUGUGUCUCAUGCACAGGAAAUGGUACAUGGGAGCGUGCGUCUACUUCUAGUGCGUGCGGGUGUGCGCAUGCCCUCGUGUGCGUGUGUCAAAGAGUUCGCUCUUACACAAUCCUGACAGUGUUUGUAAUAUUUUGGGCUCAUUGAAUCGCCUGUUUAUGGAGUGUGCAAUAAAUCAUGACUAAACAUAACCAAACACAAGUGUGUGUUUAUCAGCGAGGGAACGCCGUUUCAGGCCUUGCACAUUUUUGGCUGUGAGUGCGACACCGAGGUUAAAUUGCUUCAGUCGUGGUGAAACUACGUUGAAAUUGAGCUCUAAAGCACAUUUGAGGCUUUGCCGUAUAAAAUGUAUGUAUGAAGUUCUGUUUCAGGGAAGCCAUGCGAUUGGAUUUGCAGAAGGGCGGCCAGACCAACAGUGUGGGAGCCGCUAGGUUCACACGUCUCCAAAUCACUGGGUACAGAAACCCAGCUACUGGUAUGAACAAAUUAAGACUGGUCACUGGUCAGUACCAGGUGACAAGAACAAAAAGUGAGCCAUUAGCUGUAAAACAUUUUCUCACAGGCUAAAUUCAGCAUAAUGCUUAAAUCCACCAGUACAACAAUAGUCAUAUUGUACUCAUCUAUUUUUGAAGAAAAGUAUUUCUUUAAACAAAUUUUAUGCAUAUUUCAUUUCAAUUCCUUCUACCUUUCAGUUUUAUUAAAGAUUCUGCAAGUGCCACCCGACACAUUGUGUGGAUGUUUCACAAUAACAUCUUAAACUAAAGGAGGGAAUUUGCAUCUUGACUCACUUGAAAGGUUCUCAUGUCAAGCAUCUGUGUUUAUUUAUCUAACAGCGAUAAAGCAAUUUUAGUAGAUUGGAAUCAAGUGAAUCCGACUGCUAGUUGCAUUUGUAUUCCUGAAUUUGUCAAGAUAACGGGUAAAUAUCUAACAUGUUUUUAUUAACUGUAAAAUGCUACCAGGCGCAAAUUGUAGCAGAAUAGAACAGGAGGGUACACAAAAGUAUGAAUAAAGGUCUACUAAAUGUAAAGAUGUCAAUCAGAAUUAAGAUUCGGGAAGUAGAAUGUGCACACAGACAAUUUAACAAUGUUAAAUAAAAAGAGAUUUGUAUAGAGAUAAAGGAUUUAGAAUUACAGGACAAAAGUAAGCAGAGACACAGUGGUCAAACAUAAACAACAUCCACAUGCUAUAGAAGCUAUUCUCCAUCCUUCAUUUUUAAGAAAUUCAAAGGUGACAAAACUAUUAUUUUUCCUGUGACAUUGGUGCUGACACAUCCACUUUAUAUCAGAGGAAUUCCUGUUUUUGAAGUCCCGACACGUACUGUAGAUGUUGUAAUAUUUCCCCAGGCGCCAACAGUCCUCGCACCACCCAAGACAAAUGGCUGACAGUUGAGGUUUUUUUGUUAUCGUUCUUCAAAAUUAGACAUCAUUUGAAAACACCUACUCAGUUCUAAAAGCACAUACGUAAAAUAAAUUACACACGGCAUAUUUUAAAGAACAGCUGCAAUUGUAGUCUCUUGUCAACAUCAAUAAUGUUUACAGCCUUGUCCUAGAUCCACUUGCUAUGCUAAAUGAUCCACUUCAGUUAAUUGUUUUCUUUCCAAGAAUGAAUAUGAAACAUCCAGAGAUUAAGCUCCGAGCCAAACACCGCCUCGACUUUUUUAAGCGCUAUUCAUUUGAACUAGAAUUUCACAUCAAAUCAUGUUUCAAACUUUUCAAUCCUCUGAUUCUACUUUGUGCUUCCAGUGAAUGUAGAAGACCGUAUUUCAAACCAGAUCCCCUCAUGUGGGAAGUUAAAUAUGUACAAGUCAGCCAGAGGUGAAAUCCUUCCCUGCCAGGGGAGAUCUCCAGCUUACAGGGUCUCAGGCAAGACUCCUCUGAUUCAUGAUGGGUGUGUAGAGGGAGCGAGCAAAUGUCUACGUGUGUGUGUGUGUGUGUGUGAUCAACAGAAAUAUAUGGCUAUAAAUGGUUUCAUCCUUUGAGGCAUCGACGGGUCUUCCUGUUUCUCCCAAUAUUUGGAGGAACUAGUUAACCGUAAUAAAAAAUAAUGCCAAUGGUAACAACAGAAACUCAAAAACUCCACCUCGCUAGAGUUGACGUCAACUGGUUAGUCAGAAAGUGAAAGGCGGCGGGGGUAAGGUAAAGAGGGGUGGAACUCAUGAGGUGGAUCCCGUGAGACAGGCCAGGUCAGCUGGGACUCAACAUGGGGGCGGCGAGAGACCCAAGCCCCCCGGCGUGGAGAGCACAAGCACCCGGGACUAUAAGAUGCGGCGGGUGAGAGGUGUCUGGUUCCACAGAAGCUCCUUUCAUCCCAUCUUGCAGGUAAAAACCCCCCACUGUGGAGCGAAGCAGAGAGAAUAACUUGAGAGAAGGAUCGCUAAUCCACCCCGACGGCCUGCAGGCUCUGGGAUUUGGGACUAUCGCUUACCGUGAAGUAGGAGCAGGAGCAGGUCGAGUUAGGGCGCAAGCAUCCCUCGUAAAUGGUAAAUGGACUGUACUUGUAUAGCGCUUUUCUAGUCUUCUGACCACUCAAAGCGCUUUAACACUACAUGACAUCAUUCACCCAUUCACACCCAUUCACACGCUGAUGACACGAGAACCACACACAGUGACACCUGCCCAUCAGUAACUAACAUUCAUACGCUGUAGUCGCAGCUACAGGAGCAAUGUUGGGUUAAGUGUCUUGCCCAAGGACACAUCGACAUGCGGGUUAGCCAAGCCUGGGAUCGAACCGACAACCCUCUGAUUGGAGGACGACCGUGCUCCCCACUCACCCACAGACGCCCACAGGAAAGCAUCGUGUCUUUCCUGUCAGUCAGCCCAGCGACGCUAUUACGAUACGGCAAAUAUUGUGCCCCCGCGGCGCUCUCCCUUUUUCUGUCUGGGUUUCAAUCCAAGCAGGUUUAUCCUCUCCUCGACCGACUUCGGCUUGCUCGCCCUCUUUGUACGCACGCCGCCUCCCAAUCUCUUCCUCCCCAUCGUUCUCCACCAGCUUCGUUAAUGCUCCUCUAUCUUGAAGCCUCACAGGGAGCUAAUUUAGCUGUGAACUUUGUUCCGGCUGUCAAUUCACAAAAGGGACGUUGCAAAGAGUUAAGCAGAUAUGGCAGUCAGAGACCCAUAGGGGGAGCGUUCAUGAGAGAUUAGUGGCGUAUGCUCAAAUAUUAGUAUUAUUUUUUUGUUGUUGUUUUUUUCAUAUAAUGAAAUGAUUUAUUCAUUUUCAUUUCCAGUAACGUCUGUUCUAGAUCACAUGCAAGAAUGGUCCGCAGCUCCAAUUAAGGCAACGGAGCCAUUAAAGCAAUUUUGAACCAGACCAGUGGACCUUAAAACACAGAGCAGCUCAACACAGCAACAUCUGUGAUUACUAACAAAGCUCAGAAUGCUCUGUUAGAUAUUCAGGCUUUUUUAAUGCUUAAAGGAAAUAUGUGAAAUGAAAUGUUAAACAUUGUUAGAAGUAGGUAGAAGCUCAAUGAGAAAUGUUGUUGUCAAAGCUUUACGCCAUCUGCUUACUAUCGUCCGUACAAUCGGCCGAAACCUCGAGCUAUUCUUUUGAAGCAGCUGUGUGGUGUCGUAGAAUGCAGUAAACAAUAAAACAAAUUCUCAUUGAUGGUAAAAACGUGUAUAUGUUUGCCGACAUUGUGGUUUCUUCCUGUGGUGCCCAGGAAGGAAGUCUAAAUUAGUCAUUGUUCGUGGUGCAGCCGAUCAUGUCAUUACACAGUUUAAUGUUAACUACCCCAGUGUAAAGUUAGGUUUUACUGACAUCCUUAUCUGCUGAUCUUUAUCGUUUACACUAUUUUAGUCUUUGAUCUCCGAUAAUGUUACACAAUGGUCACUGAUAGUUUGUUUUAGGUGAAAGUUAAUAAAAAAUCAUAUAACUAAUUACAACAUUUGUUGUUUUAAUAAAUAGAAAUAUGUUUGAUUUUUUUUUUUACAUCAUCUGAACAUGUUUUUAUGAGAACCCUCCAACUAUUACUAUGACUUCAUAGACCAGUUGUUGUAACCAAAGGAGAAAAAAGGAUCUCUAUCCACGCAAAUGGAUCAUCAAUGACAAUUAGUACCAGCAGCAAAACAACUUUUUGCUGCUAGUUUUUCUUUUUUCCUUCUGAUCCAAACAUGUGAUCUGAUCCAUGACUAUGAUUGUGAGUCUUAUGAUCACAAUCAUCUGUUGGCCAUACCCAUGACUAUGUGGUUGUUACCCUGCUGGGACAGGGUCCAAUUCCUGCAUGGAAACUACUGAUGAUAAGGCAUCCGGUGGAUCGGGCUUCUGGGAAGGUCCACCUGGAUUUAAGGAGGGAUUAUUGGGAUUGAGCAUAUAUUAGUUCUGAAUAUAAAUCCCAGUUUGGCUAUCUUGCUACUGCUUCUGGGUAGUGUCUUGAUGCUGGCAGUGGGGCUGAGUAGUUGGAUGUUGUCAUCGUUAUUAGAAGCUGAAAGGCAGAAAGUUACCGAACCAGCCGGUUGGGUUAAUAAGGAGCAUGCUGAUUAGUGAUUGGCUGCUACACAGGCGGACGCAAGUCGAUGCCUCAUGAAUCCUAAAGCGAGGGUGGAAGGAAGGAGCAAAACGAUUCCCUGGGAGGAAAAAAAAA